rnacentral:rRNA from 1 species
CCUACGGGAGGCAGCAGUGAGGAAUAUUGGUCAAUGGACGAAAGUCUGAACCAGCCAAGUCGCGUGAAGGAUGAAGGCCCUAUGAUUUGUAAACUUCUUUUAUAGGGGAGUAAAAAUUUCCACGUCUGCAAUUUUGCAUGUACCCUAUGAAUAAGCAUCGGCUAACGCCGUGCCAGCAGCCGCGGUAAUACGUAGGAUUCGAGCGUUAUCCGGAUUGAUUGGGUGUAAUGGGAGCGUAGGUGGUUUGGUAAGGCAGUGGUGAAAGUUCGUGGCUCAACCAUAAUAUUGCCGUUGAAACUGGAAGACUUGAGUGCAGUAGAGGUAGGCGGAAUGCGUGGUGUAGCGGUGAAAUGCAUAGAUAUCACGAAGAACUCCGAUUGCGAAGGCAGCUUACUGGACUGUAACUGACACUGAGGCACGAAAGCGUGGGGAUCAAACAGGAUUAGAUACCCGAGUAGUC